CUGACAUAGUGCAGAGAGUAAGAGAGCGUACGAGUUACAGUUAAAGGGAGAUAACUAAGGAAUAGUCCAACUAAGGUCUAAAUAAUUAAUUAGUUAGCGCUCGGUUGAUGAGGGAACAAGCUCUUACGGUUCACGUACAAAGGCUGCUGAAUAAAGAAACGUGAACCAUCAGUUUGAGAGACCAUCUUGUCAACUGGGACGCUACAGUAAGAGCUUGGCCCAAGCUGAGAAGAGCUUCAUCUUGAGCUGAGAAGUUCAACCCACUCUCAGCAUCGAGCCUGGAAGCAUCUGAACAGGAAAUAAAGUAGCUACACCAAGGACCUAAAGGUCAACGAAGAAGAGGAGGCUCGAAGCUCUGUUCGUCAAAGGAGGCCUACAGAGAAAAUGCGAGCAUAUCAGGAGAAGCCCACAAAAAGGAAAAACGUUUUCUCAAAGUUUAUGAUCAAUGGAAAAGGCAAGUACGUACAACAAGAGAACAAUUGAAAGGAAACAUAACAAACAGUCAAAUUGCUUAACUCAUGGACAUCUUAGAAAAGGAAAUAGAUAAUGUCAUAAAGUUAUACACAGAAAUAAGGGAAAUCAUUACUCCCUGCAGUGACACAAGGCGACUUAUAGAUGCAUACCAAGCAGUCACCAAUGACAUUAUCAGAGUUGCAUAUGAAAGACUCUCAGGCAUAGAAGACUGACAGUGGGAAAGUGAAGGCACGUCUACAUGAACUUCUUGAUCCAGACUAUGCUCAAUGUAAAUUUAUUGAGCAUAGCCAGUAAUUGAGAAUUACUGGCUCAGCUGCCAGUAAUUCAAACUCUACCAGGUCAGUAGUAGCUGCAAAGAGAGCAGAGGCUGCAGCAGAGUUAGCAGCCAAAGAGGCAGAGUAUAAAAUGUUAUUAGAAGAAGAAAAACAAAGAGAACGGAUUCAACUUUUGGAGGAAAGACAGAGAAAGGAGUUAGAAUCUCAAAAAUGUGAGUUAGAGAGAUUAAAGGCUGAAAAGGAGUUAAAGGCUGCAUGACCUAGAUUAAUAACCUAUGAUCAGGAGAUGAAGAGCAAGAGCAGUGUCCAUGUUGACUGUACCAGAGCAGCUCAAAAGGCUUCUAUAGAUUCUGCUCCCAUUCAGGUCCCUAACAGCAACAUUGUGUCCACCUCACCUCCACAAGCAGAUGUCCUUUAUUUAGCCCAAGCAUUACAGGACAGUGUCACCAUGAACAGACUGCCAAUGCCCGAGCCCUCCACGUUCACAGGCGAUCCAAUAGAGUUCAUCGAGUGGGAAGCUUCAUUUGUUGCACUCAUUGAUAAAAAGAACAUAUCACCUGCAGAUAAACUACACUACUUAAGGAAAUAUGUAGGGGGUUCAUGGCCUCUGGCCACAUGACCAAAGGCGAAGAACCCAGGACCAACCAUGGCAACAGACAAGCAGGACCGCCUCUGAGUCCCAGCCCAACUUUACAUGUGAUGUUCCAUUUGCCCCAUCAGAACCCAACGAAUUUAUAGAGAAUUGUACAUUUUUUACCUUGAGACAGAAACGUAAGAUGGAUUCCCGUCGAUUACCCAUGAGGAUUAUCCCUUCGAUAAAAACGAUGACAAUAGAACCAAAUGAAGAACUCAACGAGAUUGUCAAAAUUAAAGAUGAGGAUUGUAAUUUAAGCAACUUUAUUUUAAAGUUGCCUGAAAUUACAAAACAUUUCAAACCUGACAACACGACCAAUACUGAUUAUAACGUUGACUUCAGCUCACAUUUCAUUUCAUGUUUGAAAGACAGAAUUGAUAUUCAGACAUGCAUUGACCAGGAUAAUGAAUUUUGAAGAUUACAGGGGUUGAAAGAAAGACACGAAGCUGCAAUUCGGUGGUAACAGAAACGGAAGGCACAAAACAAAGGUCAAAUGUUAAACCAACAUGCAUGCUCUGUCAAGACAACGGACACAAACUUCACAGUUGCUCUCAGUUCAAAGACAAUCGAGGAUCAAUUACCCAGGAGGAUUAUCCCUUUGAUGAAAACAAUGACGAUAGAAAAAAAUGAAGAACUCAACAAGAUUGUCAAAAUUGAAGAACAGGAUUUUAAUUUAAGCGACUUUUUGUCAAACUUACCUGAAAUUACAAAAGAUUUCACACCUGUUCCCAUGAUGCAACCAAAAGAAGAGAGACAGGAGAAUUGUGCCACAACUGAUUCUUACAUUAGCGGAAGCUCAUGUUUUCUUUUAUGUUCGGUUGACUGAAUUGAUAUUCAGACAUGCAUAUGACCAGGAUAAUGAAUUUCGAACAGUCCAGUGGUUGAAAGAAAGACACAAAGCCGCACUUCGCAAAUUACAGGAGAAGAAACAGAGACCUAAACCAUAAAAUGUUUACGCACAGGAUUCGGAGAAUUGGAAAGACAAGCAGGAGAAAAAUAUAUCAAAAACAUUGUUGCAAAUUGACAGACAGGGACAAAAAGCUCUCAACUUGUCCACAGCUAAAUCCAAUGAGGUUUCUGAAAUAGACAAACAUGACUAACAGUUUAAAAAGUCUUUGUCAUGUAAACAAAAACUGUAAAACUGCAGAGGAACAAGUCGUAAUAAAAUGGCAAAAACAGAGUUGGUGAAGGCAUUCGGUCAGAAUAUGUACAUGACGAGAGGGAGAAAAGUGUUCCUGAAAAGGUUAAAUUUCAAGAGAAAUAUAAAAAGAUGGCCUAUGAAAAUCUGGAGGAUAUAAAGAGACAAGAAUGUCAAAGUUUUAUAAAGAAAUGGUCAAGCAGGAGUUUGCCCAAAAGUUACUUGACAAACAGGAGAGAGAAAAGAAAGUUGAAAUGCAAAAGUCUUUGACUGAUGCAUGGGAUGGUCAAGUUGAAUUUAAACGGCAUAAGAAGAUGGAAAUGGAAAAAGUUAAAAAGCAAGCAUCUUAUUUAUUGAUGGAAUCAGAACACUUGCAUCGAACGGAGGACGUUGAGAAGAAGAAACAAAAGAAGCAAAAACUCAGCACACAGGAUGAGACUGAGGAAAUGACAAUCUGAAUAAUAUAAAGAAGAAGGAAGCUGCCAACUUUGUUCUUUUGGAGGAAAGACCAUUUCAAGAGAGGGCUAAGCGGCAGUUAGGCCAAAAUUUACGAGAAGAACAGGAGAGGGAGAAGAAAGCCAUUUUGAAAAAGUCUCUGUCUGACACAUUGGAUGCCCAAAUUCAAUAUAAACAACAGAAGAAAAAGGAAACAGCUGAAAUUGAAAGGCAAGAAAUGGCUGCCAUAAUAGAGUCAGAUAGUCUGCAUCAAAUUGAGGAAAUUGAGAUGAGGAGACAAAAGAAAGAAAAAAAACAGAAAUUUUUGAGACAGGAUGAGACUGAGCCAAACAUGGAAGACCGAAAGAAGACUGUGGAUGACAAUUUAGAGGAUAUAUUGAGGAAAGAAGCUUCCUACGACUCUCUUUUACAAAAGAAGCUAGUUAACAAUAUGGCCAAGGAGGAGGCUGCCAAAAUGCUACAUGAAGCACAUCAGCAGGAGAAGAAAACUCCAAAGAAAAAGCCUCUGGCUGAUGAACUGGCUGCCCGAUAUCAAUAUAGACAGAAACAGAAGAGGGAAAUGGACAGGACUGAAAGGCAAGGGGUGCUUCCUGGAUAUCGAGCUGAGAAAAUUGGAGACAGAAGACAGAAGAAGGAUCCCCACCAGAAACUGAAGACACAGGAUGAGACUAAAAAACAUAUGGACAACCCAGAAUUAAUGCAGUGGGAAAUGUAUCGCAGUGUUACUGAGCAAGGAAGAGAUGGUCAGUAUGAAUCUGGUUUUCUAGACCACGAGAGUGGCUGCGACAUUCCUGAUAAGGACAGAAGUCGUGAAAUACGUAAAAAAAAAAAGUGUACAACCAACUGUCACUUAUAAAGAAGGAAGAAGCUAAAAAAAGAGCAUUUAUGGAGGAUAAACUGUUGAAAGAAAUGAAACAUCAGAAAGCUGCAGAGCAAAAGCGUGAAAAACUGGAGAAAGAGAAAAAAGCUGCAGCUAUCAAGUCUCUGACUGAUUCGUGGGAUUCCCAGAUACAAUUUAAACGGCAGGAGAAAAAGGAACUUUGUGAGAUUGAAAGGAAAUACGUACAUGCUUUCUUUAAUUGAAUUGGUAAGAGUGUGUGGAGGUAAAAAUAGUAAAAGAAUCCACCUUGAGAAACACAAACAGCCUGAUUAUCAUGAAGUUCAGGAGACUCUGCCAGGGAGAAGUUCCUCCAAGAACUGUACGGGAAGAUCGGUGUAUUCUGCUGACAAACACGACGACGCAAAAACCAGACCUUCACUGGGUCGUCAGAAAGUUAGCAAUACCAAGCCUGUCAAACUUCCCUCACUGAAAUCCAACUCUGUGCACCUCCUAGAGAAUUGCAAACAGCACAGUAAAAGGGUAAAAUUCCCAUCCCUUUGCAGUCCCAAAUGAAUAUCUGUUUCUCAGCUGGCCAAGGAAUGCUAUGCAAAUCCCCCGGAGGAGCUGAGGAGAGGGAAGUUUGUCUAUUGUUAAAAUUAAUUAAACCUAUGUUUUAUACAAGU